CUACCACGCCACGCAUGACGUGAUCAGCACCACGGACUUUGAUUUUCGAAAUUCCCAAUUUUCUGGACGCAAUUCGAUCAAGGAUAAGGUAAAACCCUAAAACCCUCCCUCAACCUUCACUGGCCCGCCACAGAAUGAGCCCAAAUUCUCCUACGAGGCGGAGGAAGGGCAAAAGCUUCCCCUCCUCAAACGGGGCCCGGCCCGCUACCAGUCCAUCCCGGCCGUUAUCCCCUCCGCCUUCGGCAGCAACGCUUAUUGACGGCGAUUUUUUGACGGAAGAGUUUUCGAAGUUCGACGCUCUUCAAAUCUCCCCCGAAAAUCCGAACCCUAGGAGCUUUCCGUACAGCGUGAAGCAGCAAUGCUGGGAGAAGGCGGAGAAGAUCAAGGGGCGUGACCCGGAGAGGUGGCGCCGUGAUGCGUUGGGUAACAUUGUUUUCCGGAAGCUUGUUGGCUGCCCGGGCUGCCUCUGCCAUGAUUAUGAUCACAUUGUUCCUUAUUCCAAGGGAGGGAAAAGCACAUUAGAGAAUUGUCAAGUGCUGCAGGCAACUGUCAAUAGAUCCAAGGGCAACAGAACUGAGAUGUCCAAAAGUGAUCUGAUCCAGAAGAGUGCUUACUGCCGUGUUUCAGGUCGUGAUAUGGACCUUCUCGAAUUAUCCGCCUAUGGCAAUGUUCGCCGUGGACCAGAUUCUGGUGGGUGUAAAAUCCAGUAGGUUGCUUAUGAUCAUCCAUAGCUGAAUAUCAUGAUAUUACUUGGAGAUGGAAUUCCUACACAGAUGGUUGAUCAGCCAACUAUGAUUUUGGAUGCGUGUAAGUUAACACCGUUAAAUAAGUACCGCUGAGAGGGGUUAGACGCCGAGUUUAUGAAACCACGAGGGAGUUUGACGCAAUUUCGUGAAACCACGGGUGAGUUUUGUGCAAUUUAACUCCCUUCUUUUAAUAAGAUGAAGUGGAAAGCUAUGAAAUGAGGUUUAAUCUUUAUCUUCUGCUCUGGAUAGAUUUGAGGAUCAGUGCUUAUUGACAAUUCUUGUCCAAAUAAAUAAGAUUAGAAAAAAGACUUUUAUGCUGUUGGUCUUAACACGGAUUUGAAUUGAUUAAUUGGGAUGGUCAACUCAGUCUAUUCUUGUUAUAUAAAAAUGUCAAUGUCAAUUUGUUGACUAAGAAUGCAUACACGUAGUGCGUGUGGUUUGCCUUGACUUUUGUGUUAAUUGUACUUAAUAUUUUCCUAA